CCUACGGGUGGCUGCAGUGGGGAAUAUUGCACAAUGGGGGGAACCCUGAUGCAGCAAUGCCGCGUGAAGGAUGAAGGUUUUCGGAUUGUAAACUUCUUUUGUACGGGACGAAGAAAGUGACGGUACCGUAAGAAUAAGCCACGGCUAACUACGUGCCAGCAGCCGCGGUAAUACGUAGGUGGCAAGCGUUAUCCGGAUUUACUGGGUGUAAAGGGCGAGUAGGCGGGAUUGCAAGUCAGAUGUGAAAACUAUGGGCUCAACCGAUAGAGUGCAUUUGAAACUGGCAUUCUUGAGUGGGCGAGAAGUAUGCGGAAUGCGUGGUGUAGCGGUGAAAUGCAUAGAUAUCACGCAGAACUCCGAUUGCGAAGGCAGCAUACCGGCGCCCGACUGACGCUGAGGCACGAAAGCGUGGGUAUCGAACAGGAUUAGAUACCCCAGUAGUC
rnacentral:rRNA from 1 species